rnacentral:lncRNA from 1 species
GGACCCAGGGUGGGGUGGGGCAGGGCGGGCGGAAGGGGGCCGGAUCCGGGGGUGGGGUGAGGUAGGACCGGCGGAGAGGUCGGCACCGCCCCAGGACCCUGUCCGCAGGAGCAGCACAGCAGGCAGCUGCAGGAGCAGUGGGAGGAGCUGUCGAGUCAGCUCUUCUACUACGGAGGAGAACCGCAGAGCCAGAAGAGCACGGAGCAGCAACUCGCAGCCCAGUUGGUGACGCUGCAGAAUGAACUGGAGCUGGCGGAGACCAAAUGCGCCUUGCAGGAGGAGAAGCUGCAGCAGGGCGCGCUGCAGACAGCGGAGGCCUGGGCCAUAUUCCAGGAGCAGACCGUAGUCCUGCAGGUGCGGCCCCACUCAGACGCCAAGGUGCCUCCCGCCUCUCCUCCCCCAGACCUGGGGCGGUAAGUCUCCCAACCCACCGCCAGGACGCCUCCCCGAGGCCUCAGUCCGCACUCUCACCCGCUCCAGGAGGUGCAGGUGAAGGUGAUGGAGGCUGCGGAGGAGCUGGACGCCUGGCAGAGUGGCCGGGAACUGUAAGGGAGU